rnacentral:rRNA from 1 species
GUCCUAGCCGUAAACGUUGGGUGCUAGGUGUGGGCGGAUAUCGACCCCGUCUGUGCCGAAGCUAACGCAUUAAGCACCCCGCCUGGGGAGUACGGCCGCAAGGCUAAAACUCAAAGGAAUUGACGGGGGCCCGCACAAGCGGCGGAGCAUGUGGCUUAAUUCGAUGCAACGCGAAGAACCUUACCUGGGCUUGACAUGCGGGGUGAAGCCGGUGAAAGCCGGCGCUCUACGGAGCCCGCACAGGUGGUGCAUGGCUGUCGU